rnacentral:lncRNA from 1 species
UGUCAUGUCAUGAGAACCUAACAACAAAAUCUCUUUUCAUAGUGAAAGCUUGGCUCUUAACAUGAGCAGAGACUCCUUCGCCAGAAAUUCUUCAUCUAUCUUUGCUUCUCUUGAUCCCCAUCCAACAAUGCUUUUUCUACAAUACCACAAAUAAAAAACAAAAAAAAACAAAUUUUAGACCAAAUUUCAGACCUCCCAAUAGAAUAAACAACUUCAGAACAUCAAACAACAACAAAAAUUUCUCUCUCAACAGAACACCCAAAACAACCCAUCACCUACUGAGAAAUGUCCAUCUGCAAGAAACUCUGGACAUUCGGCGAUACAUGCUAUUUUUUGACAAACCUUCAGAAACAGUGGACGAACAUAAACCAAGCUUUUUACAACCUUAAAUAGGAUCCUUCUUCCUUUUAUGAAGACCCCAAAUGCCAAGCUAUCAAACUUCCUCCUUUGUAGAGUACUACCUGAUACAGGAGCCGUUUCCAGUCAUAUGUCCUUCUGAUUCCCAAAUUCCCCACUAACCUUUUUUCACAAGCUCAUUCAUAUCAGGACUGAAAAAGUCAUUGUUGGUGAUGGAACCAGAUUCCAUUACUCACAAAGGUACUCUACUAUUCCCAACACCUGAAUUCUCAUCAAUUUUGCCCCCAAUGUGCGUUGUGUUCCAACAUCAAGAAGAAUCUCCUCUCUGUAGCGAAAUUCACGAUGAUAAGCAAUGUUUCUGUAUUUUUCCUUGGGCUAUGCAUAAAGGAGAUACACCGGGAGAACUCUGCUGAAGGCAGGUUCAAGGCAAUCUCUACCCAAUACUACUUCCAAGACCUCAACUUCAGGCCUCAAUCCAGAAUCAUUUCUUGCUGUGACUGGGACAUCAGAACUUUGUCAUCAAAGACUUGGACCUCCUGCUCAUCCCAAUUGCACAACCACUCCACUCCAACCAACUAUUCAACUUUCAACAACGCAUAUUCAGCAACUCGUUGCUCAUGUCAAAUGGGAAAGAGCAAAAGACUACCAGUUUCUAAUCCACUAGAGUUACCAAGUAAUCCAUUAGAGCUUGUUCACUGUGAUAGUUGGGGGACAUUCUCCUACUGUUUCUAUUCUGGUUUUAGGUACUAUAUCCUGUUUGUUGAUGAUUUUUCAAGAUUUCAUUGGAUAUAUCCUUGAAGCUUCGAAGUGAUAGCUUAUCUUGCUUCAAACAUUUUCAGGCUGUAAAUGAGAAUCUAUUUUCCUACCACUGUUAAAUCCUUUCAAGCAGAGGGCACCAGAACUAACCUUGGGUCUUUUCGAUCUUUUCUUGAUAAUGUGGUAUUACAUAUGCUUUUCAUGUCCACAUACUCAACACAAAAUGGUAUUGCUGAAAGAAAACAAGACAUGUGACUGAGAUGGGAAUACCAUUGCUUUUCUCAGCUUCUCUACCACCAAUUCUGGUAUGAAGUUUUCCUCACUGCCACAUAUCUUAUCAACCCAAUUACCCAUACAAUUCUCAAUAAACUCUCCCCCUUUCAAGUCUUGUUUCUCAAGCCCCAGAUUACUCUUUGUAAAGUCUUUGUCUGACAUGCUAUCCUACCUUGGUCCCCUAUAGAGAUAAUGAAAUGAGCCCAAGUCUUGACCCUUGUGUUCUUAGAUAUAGCCCUUUCAUAAAGGGUAACAUAUGCUUAUGAACCUAAAACAAAGAGGCUAUACAUCUCGAGACAUGUCCCAAUUCGUGAGAGCCUUUUUCCUUUCCAAAACACCACUCCAAAAGAUACUAAGUGUGAUACUCCACAAUAAAGUACUGCUACCUAUUCCCCUUAGAAAGUGUACAACCCUCUCAAGUUGUCUUCAUCCAUCCUCAAUAUUAUAGCUCCAUUACACAUUGCCUCUGCAUUCCUUCACCUAAUCGCUAGUUCAUCUUCACCCUCAACCCUCUUCAACAUUACCUACAAUGUCUAAAUUCAUCUCCUUUACCCUAUAUCUCCAAACCUUCCCAUACAAUGUGGACUAGAGCCAAACAGGACUCCUAAACCCAAACUUUUUUUCAAGACUUUGUUACCUUCUAUGCAAAUCUUCCUACUGACCUCAGAGUUUUAACAUGCCUUAGAACAUCCACAAUGGAAGCAAGCAAUGCAAGAGAGUUCAGUGCACUACAAAAGACAUAAUCCUUGGUCUCUUGUUACAUUUUGGACAAUCCAUGAAUCUGUUUAGGUUUUCAAAUGGGUCCUUCAAAUUGAAAACAAAAAGCUGAUGGUUCAGUAGAAAGAUAAACUCGCAUUGGUUGCAAAGGUCGUCCUUCAACAGGAUGGUGUGACUUUCAAUGAGACUUUUAGUCCUGUUGUGAAGCUUGCAACUGUUGAACCAUUCUUACAUUGCUUUACAAACAAUGGCCCAUCAAACAUUGGAUGUCCUCAAAUGCUUUCCUCCAUUGAUAUCUAAAAAGAGACAGGUAUACCAUGGCACACCGUCCGGUUUCAUAGACAACCCAAUCAAGUCAUGUUUUGUUUACUCCACAAAUCUCCUAUGGCCUACAAGC